rnacentral:rRNA from 1 species
CAGCCGCCGCGGUAAUACCGGCGGCCCGAGUGGCGGUCACUAUUAUUGGGCUUAAAGCGUCCGUAGCCGGGUUGGGAAGUCCUCCGGGAAAUCUGGCCGCUUAACGGUCAGAAUGCCGGAGGAUACUCCCAGCCUAGGAAGCGGGAGAGGCCGAGGGUAUUCCCGGAGUAGGGGUGAAAUCCUAUAAUCCCGGGAGGACCACCUGGGGCGAAGGCGCUCGGCUGGAACGGGUCCGACGGUGAGGGACGAAGGCCAGGGGAGCAAACCGGAUUAGAUACCCGGGUAGUCCUGGCUGUAAACGAUGCGGACUUUGUGUCGGACAAGCUAUGAGCUUGUCCGGUGCCGGAGGGAAACCGUUAAGUCCGCCGCCUGGGGAGUACGGCCGCAAGGCUGAAACUUAAAGGAAUUGGCGGG